AAAGUGAAACCAAAGGAGACUUACAGACCCUAUACGCAGCCAAACAUGCAGCGACAAGAUGAAGCCAAAAAGGGACAGAUAGAAGCGAUACUGAUUGAUUGGUUUCUGUUUUUUCCAUGGUGAUUGAUUGAUUGUACCUUGCUUAACGUCUCGCUCGAGAAUUUUUCACUCAUAUGGAGACGUCACCAAGACCGGUGAAGGGCUUCAAAUUUAGGCCUUUGCUCGGCACUUACGGCCUUUGAGCAGUGAGGGUUCUUUAGCGUGCCACACCUGAUGCGACACGGGGCAUCCGUUUUUAAGGUCAUCUCCGAGGACCCAUGACAUUCACACCUGAUGCCGAACGUUUGGCGAUGGAACUGUCACUACAUUGUGUCGCGGCCGGGAUUCGAACCCCGGCCUCCAGCAUGCGGGGCGAACGUUCUUUUUUCCCCCUCUUUUGGGGCGAACGUUCUAACCUCUCGGAUACCACGGCGGUUCCAUGCAUGAUGGUGAAGAUAACGAACUGUGACCAAUAUUCCUAUUAUAAGCAAUACAAUAAAACGUCUCUUCCAAGAAUGGAAUCGUCACCACUGUCGGCGAUGAAUUGCCAAACUUUGGCUCGCUCGGCGUUUUUCGGCUGCUUAGCGGGGAGCCUCAGCCUCGACGAUUUUUAUCGUGCUACCGCCCCGCCUGCUGUGACUCGGACCCUCGGUUUAAUUUGGUGUCCUGUUACAACCAGCAAUGGGUGCUGUGGACCUUUCUAACCCGGAUCCCCACGGGACUUGAGUCCGAGACUAGGAGGGCAUGCCAGCCAAGGCAGUGAAGCACGGCAACGUUAUGGUCACCCUCCCCCUCCCUUUUGAAUGCAGGAGGUACCCAUUCAGCUGGUGGUAGAGGUUUAAUCCCGGUCGAACGCUAAUCUCCUUUCUCAAGGUCAAACUGAAGAGAAUCGUCACCACUGUCGGCGAUGGGUUUCCAAACUUUGGCCUGUGCUCGGCGUUUUCGGCCGCUUAGCGGGGAGCGAUUGUUAUCGUGCCACCCACGCCUGCUGUGAUUCGGACCCUCGGUUUAAUUUGGUGGCCGCUUACAACAAGCAAGGGGUGCUGCGGAUCUUUCUAACCCGGAUCUCCACGGGACUGGAGCUCGAGACAAGGACGGCAUGCGAGCCAGGCAGUGAAGCACGACAACGCUGGUCCUCCCCUGAAGGAGUUCCAUCGCCAAACGCUCGCCAUCAGGUGUGAAUGUCACGGGGUCCUCGGAGAUGACCUUAAAAACGGAUGUCCCGUGUCACAGUAGGUGUGGCACGCUAAAGAACCCUCACUGCUCAAUGGCCGUAAGCGCCGAGCAUAGGCCUAAAUUUAAAGCCCUUCACCAGUCUUGGUGACGUCUUCAUAUGAGUGAAAAAUUCUCGAGCGAGACGUUAAGCAAGAUACAAUCAAUCAACAAUCCCCUGAAGGUAGGAGGUACCUAUUCAGCCGGCGAUAGACGUCUAAUCCCGGACGAACGCUACUAUCCCUUCUCAAGGUCAACCUGGAUUUCCAGGUGUUGUGGGUUGUACUGAUGGGACUAUUAUUAAGAUUCAGGCUCCCAAAGAAAAUGAAGCUGAUUAAAUAUGUCGGAAAGGAUAUUAUGCCCUCAACAUACAAAUGACAUGCGAUCCACGGUAUCAAAUAAUUGACUUGGUGGCAAAGUGGCCAGGCAGUGUGCAUGAUUCAAGAAUAUUCCGUGAAUCAGCCUUAUGCACAUAUUUGGAGGAAGGUCAGAUUCAGGGGAUAUUACUUGGUGAUUCAGGGUAUGGCCUAAAACCUUAUCUGAUGACCCCA